CUGAAUAUUGAAGACCUGAGUAUUUUUAGCAAAGGUUUUUUGAAACAAACCAGUGUGAUCCAAUAAGGACUUAGAUAACUACAGUUUUUUGUAGAAAGCUAUAGGUCUUUUAGUAGGCUAGAGGGAUACAUGGGUAUAAAACAUACAUUAUGUUCAUUUUUCAAGAGUAUUCACAAUAUAAUUAAUUAUGAUUUCUUAAACAGGUUCCAGCAACAGAUAGAAAUGCUUUAAGUUCACUCUGGGGAAAGCUGGCCUCUGAAAUCUUAAUGCAGAAUUGGGAUGCAGCCAUGGAAGACCUUACACGGUUAAAAGAGACCAUAGAUAAUAAUUCUGUGAGUUCUCCACUUCAGUCUCUUCAGCAGAGAACAUGGCUCAUUCACUGGUCUCUGUUUGUUUUCUUCAAUCACCCCAAAGGUCGCGAUAAUAUUAUUGACCUCUUCCUUUAUCAGCCACAGUAAGUUAUUUCACUGUGUAAUUUUGGCUUUGUUUAGAUAAAAUUACGUGGAGUUGUUUAAAAUUGAAAUAUACUUUUCUCUAUCAUUUG
rnacentral:sRNA from 1 species